GAUGAACGCUGACCGAAUGCUUAACACAUGCAAGUCUUUGGCGAAGCUGUGCUUGCACAGCCUAGCCAAGGCGGACGGGUGAGUAACGCGUAAGGAACUUGCCCUGCAGUCAGGGAUAACAGACGGAAACGACUGAUAAGACCUGGUAAAGUCAGGCGGACUCAUGUCCAGCCUGAUGAAAAGAGAUGCUGCAGGAGAGCCUUGCGUCCUAUUAGCUUGUUGGUGGGGUAACGGCCCACCAAGGCGAUGAUAGGUAGCCGGCCUGAGAGGGUGGACGGCCACAAGGGGACUGAGAUACGGCCCUUACUCCUACGGGAGGCAGCAGUGGGGAAUAGUGGACAAUGGGGGCAACCCUGAUCCAGCAAUUCUGUGUGCACGAUGAAGGUUUUCGGAUUGUAAAGUGCUUUCAGCAGGGAAGAAAAAAAUGACGGUACCUGCAGAAGAAGCGACGGCUAAAUACGUG
rnacentral:rRNA from 1 species